GCGAUAAGCGUCGGUAAGGUGAUAUGAACCGUUAUAACCGGCGAUUUCCGAAUGGGGAAACCCAGUGUGAUUCGUCACACUAUCAUUAACUGAAUCCAUAGGUUAAUGAGGCGAACCGGGGGAACUGAAACAUCUAAGUACCCCGAGGAAAAGAAAUCAACCGAGAUUCCCCCAGUAGCGGCGAGCGAACGGGGAGCAGCCCAGAGCCUGAAUCAGUGUGUGUGUUAGUGGAAGCGUCUGGAAAGGCGUGCGAUACAGGGUGACAGCCCCGUACACAAAAAUGCACAUACUGUGAGCUCGAUGAGUAGGGCGGGACACGUGGUAUCCUGUCUGAAUAUGGGGGGACCAUCCUCCAAGGCUAAAUACUCCUGACUGACCGAUAGUGAACCAGUACCGUGAGGGAAAGGCGAAAAGAACCCCGGCGAGGGGAGUGAAAAAGAACCUGAAACCGUGUACGUACAAGCAGUGGGAGCACGCUUAGGCGUGUGACUGCGUACCUUUUGUAUAAUGGGUCAGCGACUUAUAUUCUGUAGCAAGGUUAACCGAAUAGGGGAGCCGAAGGGAAACCGAGUCUUAACUGGGCGUUAAGUUGCAGGGUAUAGACCCGAAACCCGGUGAUCUAGCCAUGGGCAGGUUGAAGGUUGGGUAACACUAACUGGAGGACCGAACCGACUAAUGUUGAAAAAUUAGCGGAUGACUUGUGGCUGGGGGUGAAAGGCCAAUCAAACCGGGAGAUAGCUGGUUCUCCCCGAAAGCUAUUUAGGUAGCGCCUCGUGAAUUCAUCUCCGGGGGUAGAGCACUGUUUCGGCAAGGGGGUCAUCCCGACUUACCAACCCGAUGCAAACU
rnacentral:rRNA from 1 species